CGUCUAAUACCGGAUACGACCUGCCCCGGCAUCGGGUGCGGGUGGAAAGUUUUUCGGUCAAGGAUGGACUCGCGGCCUAUCAGCUUGUUGGUGAGGUAAUGGCUCACCAAGGCGACGACGGGUAGCCGGCCUGAGAGGGUGACCGGCCACACUGGGACUGAGACACGGCCCAGACUCCUACGGGAGGCAGCAGUGGGGAAUAUUGCACAAUGGGCGAAAGCCUGAUGCAGCAACGCCGCGUGGGGGAUGACGGCCUUCGGGUUGUAAACCUCUUUUAGUAGGGAAGAAGGGCUUCGGCUUGACGGUACCUGCAGAAAAAGCACCGGCUAACUACGUGCCAGCAGCCGCGGUAAUACGUAGGGUGCAAGCGUUGUCCGGAAUUAUUGGGCGUAAAGAGCUCGUAGGCGGUUUGUCGCGUCUGCUGUGAAAACCCGAGGCUCAACCUCGGGCCUGCAGUGGGUACGGGCAGACUAGAGUGCGGUAGGGGAGAAUGGAAUUCCUGGUGUAGCGGUGGAAUGCGCAGAUAUCAGGAGGAACACCGAUGGCGAAGGCAGUUCUCUGGGCCGUUACUGACGCUGAGGAGCGAAAGCGUGGGGAGCGAACAGGAUUAGAUACCCUGGUAGUCCACGCCGUAAACGUUGGGAACUAGAUGUGGGGACCUUUCCACGGUCUCCGUGUCGCAGCUAACGCAUUAAGUUCCCCGCCUGGGGAGUACGGCCGCAAGGCUAAAACUCAAAGGAAUUGACGGGGGCCCGCACAAGCGGCGGAGCAUGCGGAUUAAUUCGAUGCAACGCGAAGAACCUUACCAAGGCUUGACAUAUACCGGAAACGUCCAGAAAUGGUCGCCCCGCAAGGUCGGUAUACAGGUGGUGCAUGGUUGUCGUCAGCUCGUGUCGUGAGAUGUUGGGUUAAGUCCCGCAACGAGCGCAACCCUCGUUCUAUGUUGCCAGCACGUUAUGGUGGGAACUCAUAGGAGACUGCCGGGGUCAACUCGGAGGAAGGUGGGGAUGACGUCA
rnacentral:rRNA from 1 species